rnacentral:rRNA from 1 species
AUUGAACGCUGGCGGCAGGCUUAACACAUGCAAGUCGAGCGGAGCGAGGGUGCUUGCACCUUAGCUUAGCGGCGGACGGGUGAGUAAUGCUUAGGAAUCUGCCUAUUAGUGGGGGACAACAUUCCGAAAGGGAUGCUAAUACCGCAUACGUCCUACGGGAGAAAGCAGGGGAUCUUCGGACCUUGUGCUAAUAGAUGAGCCUAAGUCGGAUUAGCUAGUUGGUGGGGUAAAGGCCUACCAAGGCGACGAUCUGUAGCGGGUCUGAGAGGAUGAUCCGCCACACUGGGACUGAGACACGGCCCAGACUCCUACGGGAGGCAGCAGUGGGGGAUAUUGGACAAUGGGCGGAAGCCUGAUCCAGCCAUGCCGCGUGUGUGAAGAAGGCCUUAUGGUUGUAAAGCACUUUAAGCGAGGAGGAGGCUACUUUAGUUAAUACCUAGAGAUAGUGGACGUUACUCGCAGAAUAAGCACCGGCUAACUCUGUGCCAGCAGCCGCGGUAACAC